UACGAAGGGGCUAGCGUUGCUCGGAAUUCACUGGGCGUAAAGCGCACGGUAGGCGGAUUGUUAAGUCAGGGGUGAAAUCCUGGAGCUCAACUCCAGAACUGCCUUUGAUACUGGCGAUCUCGAGUCCGGGAGGAGGUGAGUGGAACUGCGAGUGUAGAGGUGAAAUUCGUAGAUAUUCGCAAGAACACCAGUGGCGAAGGCGGACUCACUGGCCCGGUAC
rnacentral:rRNA from 1 species